CAUCUUACUGGGCAGCAUUGGAUGGUGACUGGUCUCUAAUACUGCCUGGUAAUGAUGGC
rnacentral:pre_miRNA from 1 species